UAGCUCAGUUGGUAGAGUGCUUGCCUUGCAUGCAUAAGGACCUGGGUUCAAUUCCCAG
rnacentral:tRNA from 1 species